rnacentral:rRNA from 1 species
AGCGAAAUGCGAUACGUAAUAUGAAUUGCAGAUAUUCGUGAAUCAUCGAAUCUUUGAACGCACAUUGCGCCCUCUGGUAUUCCGGAGGGCAUGCCUGUUUGAGCGUCGUUUCUCCCUCAAACCGCUGGGUUUGGUGUUGAGCAAUACGACUUGGGUUUGCUUGAAAGACGGUAGUGGUAAGGCGGGAUCGCUUUGACAAUGGCUUAGGUCUAACCAAAAACAUUGCUUGCGGCGGUAACGUCCACCACGUAUAUCUUCAAACUUUGACCUCAAAUCAGGUAGGACUACCCGCUGAACUUAAG